UACGGAGGGUGCAAGCGUUGUCCGGAAUCACUGGGCGUAAAGGGUGCGCAGGCGGCCGUGUGUGUGAGGCGUGAAAGCCCGGGGCUCAACCCCGGAAUUGCACCUCAAACUACAUGGCUAGAGCAUUGGAGAGGGUAGCGGAAUUCACGGUGUAGCAGUGAAAUGCGUAGAUAUCGUGAGGAACACCAGAGGCGAAGGCGGCUACCUGGACAAUUGCUGACGCUCAGGCACGAAAGCGUGGGGAGCAAAAGGG
rnacentral:rRNA from 1 species